rnacentral:rRNA from 1 species
UACAGAGGGUGCGAGCGUUAAUCGGAAUUACUGGGCGUAAAGCGCACGUAGGCGGAUUGUUAAGUCAGGGGUGAAAGCCUGGAGCUCAACUCCAGAACUGCCCUUGAUACUGGCAAUCUCGAGUCCUGAAGAGGUAAGUGGAACUCCGAGUGUAGAGGUGAAAUUCGUAGAUAUUCGGAAGAACACCAGUGGCGAAGGCGGCUUACUGGUCCGGUACUGACGCUGAGGUGCGAAAGCGUGGGGAGCAAACAGG